UACAGAGGUGGCAAGCGUUGUUCGGAAUUAUUGGGCGUAAAGAGCUCGUAGGCGGUCUGUCGCGUCGGAUGUGAAAAUCCAGGGCUCAACCCUGGACCUGCAUUCGAUACGGGCAGACUAGAGUUCGGCAGGGGAGACUGGAAUUCCUGGUGUAGCGGUGAAAUGCGCAGAUAUCAGGAGGAACACCGGUGGCGAAGGCGGGUCUCUGGGCCGAUACUGACGCUGAGGAGCGAAAGCGUGGGGAGCGAACAGG
rnacentral:rRNA from 1 species